GGGUGGGGGGGAUGAUAAAACAGAAGGGCGGGGUUUCAAUCGGAGACAAGCGGGAGACGAGGCCAAUCGGAACAAAAGAGAGAGAGGCUGGGAUUGAAGCGUCUCGCCAAUGCCGGCCGCCGCUGGCAGAGCCGUUGAGGGGAGGCGGGGGCGGUUUAACCUCCGCGGCGGGGGCGGCGGCGGGGCGGUGUGCGCGGGGGCCGGCUGCCGCCCCGGGAGGGUCCCCGCCGUGAUGCGGCGUCACCUGGGUUACGCGCUGCGCCUCACGGGCCCGCAGCUGCGUGGGAGGAGGGCUGAGAUCGCCCGAGGAGGCGGUGGGAUAGCGGGGACAUGUCCUCGCCGAGGCUGGCUGCACCACUCGCGCGGCGCGGCGCGGCGCGGCCGGGCCCUUCCUCCCUCCGUCCGCGCUCGGUCCCCGCCGGCCGCCGCGGGCAGGGGCAGCGCUGCCGCUCCGCGCCGGAGCCGUGGACGCGCCGGGCUGCAUCGCGCAGGCUUGUAAAGAAAUUAAUAAAGAUAUUAUUGUUACAUUGUGACAGCCGGUCUAGCCAGAGCCGUGCGACACAAAGCCGCGUUGCUUACCUAAAUAUUUCGUAGAGAAUUUAAAGAUAUUUCACUGCGGUGAAGGUUAUUUCUGCUUACAAAUCUCAAAUUAUUCAGGUGGAAUAUUAAAACGUUGUUAGAUUCGGGGGGAUGGGGAGGCAUGGCUCAGGGAAUUGUCUGUGCACCAGGAAAGCGUUUUUAGUAUUUGACUCUGCUGUUUAUUGACUCUUUUCCUUUGAAAAAAAGUCUCAAACUGCUGUAACUGUGACGGUAGUGGUCACUACUGGAGCAUCAAUGCCAUACAAAGUUUAGGGACGUGUGUUUAUUGCGUUACAACACGCUCUGUGCUAAAUUCGUAUUGAUGUGUGUGUGUGCGCGGCAUGGCUGCUGACUCGAUUCCUCCUAAUACACGAGCUUAAAACCUGGCUGUUAGUGGAUGAAAUCCAAUUUCCAUUCUAAGCUUCCUGGGAGACAGCCUUAGUUUCAGUAAUCACUUACCAUUAAUACUGCCCCAAACAAUUUUUAAUACUUAAAAUACACACAUCAUAUAUAAUAUAUAGCACAUCACCUCUGCUGAUAAAUUACAAGUCAGAUAGGUAAUGCAUUAUUGGAUAUUAAACCGUGCACAUGCUAACAUCUAAACAGGCUUCUGCCCAAAUGCAUUCACAAAUUAAGAACUCAAUCCAGCGCUAUACAUAGGAAACUUCCAAUUACUUCUUUGGGAAUUGUGUCCCAGGAAUGUGAUAUGUAUCCUUCUUGCCGGCAGAUGAAAUAUAUGCAGCAGAUUCAGUAAAAAUUUGAUAGCAUAUAUGGUCAGAAAAAUGAUUAUAUAAAAAUGGAACUUUCUUAGUCAUCAUAUACCCCUUGUAUCUAAGAUACUCUGACUCAUAAUUGCUUAGUUUACUGACUGAAAUAAAAUUCUAGACUUCUGUUACCUUGGCUGUUGCUGACACAAUUAUGGUACAGCAAACUGGGGACUGGUUCUAGCUCUUCCAUUUUCUUUACUAAGUUACAGCCGAAGAAUUUUAUUAGUAUUUGAGCCAGAAGGAGCAUGGCAUGGCUUGUAAAUCCCUGGUCCAGUUUGUAGGGUCAUCAGUCCUAAGAGGCCUCUUUUUAUUUGUAAACCAAGCAAAUGUCUUGCAGAAACUUUUGAAGACAAAAAUAAAAACCACGAUGUUUGAAUUAAGCCAUCUUGAGUCAAUUUCCGCAGUGGAACUGGAUAAAUUAUAACACUGCUCUCUUUAUCUCACUGUCUAUGUCCCAUUCAUCUGUAGCAACACUGAAACAAACAAUUCUCUGGUUUUUAGACCACAUCUGUUUUACUGUGCCCCCUGCACCAAUUUUAAUUAUGUGACAGAUCUGAUUGGAUUCAGCACCUGCAAGUCCUCCCUUUGGGAUCUCCAAUUAGCUUAUAAAGCAUUUGCUUGAUUGCAUUCUUGAAACAAAAGUAUUGUUUCAUCAUAACAACAGAAAUAUUAAAGUGUAGAAUAAAAAAAGCUUUUAAUGUGAUGAGCGUCUAUGUUGUUUGUGUAUCUAGCUUCCAUAAGCUUAGAGGAAAAAGUGGUAAUCCUGAAACCUAAUUUCCUCAGACUCAGCAGAUGUCUGUCCUGUGUUAGCCUGUUUCUUUACUGACAGCUGUUUCACAAGUGCCUCCCCUCCUCUCUACAGAAUGCCUUUUGUCUAAUGAUUUCCCUCUACAUUAUGUCCCAUCCCACUUAGACAAGCUUUUUUUAACUUUUCUAGUAGUUUUAGAAGGUUUUUUUAUAAUUUCCAGAAAGGCUUCUUUUUGAAGAAGUUAGCUUUAGCUAGGUAACUAGCCUCUCAGUUAGUUUCUUAGUAACAGUUCUACUUAAGUAAGCAGAUAGCUGCAAGUAAUCAACAUUUCAACAAAUACCGAUUUAGUAUUAAGGAAAGUUUCAAUUAUUACAGCUAUACUUCAGAAUAUGCACUUUUUUUCUCCUUAUUUAAUUGUUUGGAGCAGUGAUAAUGAAGGUCCAGGGGGGAAUAUCACAUUAAGUGCAGCCCUCUAGUGGCAGAGGUCACUUGGAGUUUAAAGCAAACUGGGUCUUUGUCAUGGAUUGGGGCAUUGAAAGAAACAGCUUUUAGCAAAAUGCAGGCAACUGCCCUGCAUUGUUCAUGGUCUGAAGCAUGAGUGAAAAUAGUUGUAAUAGCCUGUGCUAAUACCACCGUGCUCCCUCCUAUUGUAAUAUCUGUGCAGAAAGUGCUGAUGGAAAAUAUUAAAAAGUGUGUAUCAGUAGAGUUUUCCUCUUUUUCCAAGUCUGUAAUCUGUUGUUCAUCUUUUCUGUUUUCAGCUAGCUCCAGGCUGGCAUACCUGACCAUAGGUUUUUCAAACAGCUGUGGGAUCUUGUUUUCUUUCCUGUCUGUAUCAGUCAUAUCCUACCAUAUAAUGUAUUCUGUACUUUCAGUAAGAGAUUGUUCAGAGGUGACAUGGUGUACAAAUUCCAUUUGCCAACUUUAUUUCUAAAAUAAUUCUCAGCUGGUGGAUGGUAGCAUUCAAAUUAAUCUCUCUCACAGACAUGGAACCUAUGCUUAGAAUUGAAAGGGAUUAGGAACUGGGAGAAAUUAAGCAUAUAUAUUAACAAAUAGAAAUCUGCAUAAUAAUUCAGGUGACGUUUUAGUAAACAUCACUUAAUCUGAUAAAGUCUACUUUGUGGAACAAGACGCAAUCCCCUGUUUCUUUUAGAGGUGAUGGAUAAUUCUCAUCUGACUAACAGAAUGAGAGUUCAUUUUUCCCCUUUUGGGAAAUAUGACAGAGAACAGUAAUCAUUAGAUGAAAAACGAUACCUCUUAAACAUCCUGGCUAGGUAAAAGAAAACACAUUCUAUCUUUGUCCAAAAGGACUGGCAGCUUUUCAUUACUGGAUGGUUGCUGUGACUCCUGUAAACUUUGGUUUCACUAAAAUUAUAGUUAGUGAUGAACUCAGAAGAUUCUUUAACAUCAUCUUCUGUUUAUGAAACUUUUUUUCUCCAAUAAUCUGCCAGUUAAACUAUGAUUAUUGUUGAUUAGGUUGUUCAAUUGUGGCUUGUUUAAAUACUGCAGAAUUUGUUCAUCAGGAAAUAUUUUUGUAAAUUCAGUGGAAAUUCUCCAAGAUUCCAGCAAUAUUAACCAGAAAAAAAUCAAACCCAGCAUUUAGAAAAAAAAGUUGAAUGCAUAUUAGACAGAAAAUGACCCAAUUAUAUCUGGUUUUCCACAUUUACAUUGCUUUUCUUAUCUGCAUUAUGUUAUAUAGAUUGCUGAACUAAAAGCCAAGUGUUAAUAGUCAUACUCUUCACUGAAAACAACAUGGACAACUGCUAAACCUUUUCAAAUUGUAGAUCAUUGCUGUGUAGUAGCUUUCUUUUUCUGGGAAACUAAGGAUGAUAACUUAAAAUUAGCGAAAAUGUGACCAUAUUAUUUAUCAUAACAUGAACAUAUUGGCUAAAACUCUUUUUUCUGGUGGUAGAAGAAGGAAUUGUUUGUAGGAAAUCAAUGUCCAUUCUUCUCUCUCAGCAGAGAGGUCACUUGUCUCCUACUCUGACAAAGUUCAUAAAAAUUCACAGAUUCUUUUUUUUUUUUUUUUUACUUUUCUUCAGGAAUAAGGAGUUGAAUUGAUCUGACUCCUUCAUUGCUGAAUCUGUAGAUCAAAUUUGUAAGGGCUUACCUGGGGACUUACCCAGAUCUCACUGUAGAAAACAAGAUAACCUCAAGACAAGGUAAUUUUCAUCUCUCCCAAGGACUUGACAUUGUGGAUCCAGAUAUCUGAAACUCCAGUGGCUCAACACUUACUGAAAGAAGCUUCCCCCUGGUGAUCUUUAUGUACAGUAAUUUAAAGAUAUUUCAUUUCUCAGAAUGAAAAAAAAAAAAAAUAAAGGCUAGAUUUCAAUUGCCUUCCAAAAAUAGUAAUGUCUUCUGUUUUCUUUAGGUUGUGUUUUGGGUUUUUUGUUUUGUUUUGUUUUGUUUUUUGUUUGGUUGGAUUUUUUUACUUGGUUUUGGUUGGGUUUGGGGUUGUUUUGUUUUGUUUUGUUUUGUGGUGUGUUAUUUUGGUUUUGAUAGAAAAAUGGAUAUUCAGGGAUUAAAACUACUAUAAACUAUUAGUAAUUCCACUGUAAUGAAAGAAUGUAAUAUCAUGUGUGAGAAAUAGCAGGAUCUCCUUGUGUAGCUUCGUCAGUUUACAGUGUUACUGACUGUGUACUUUUUGUUACUAUCUUACAAAAGGACACGGGCAAAGCAUCUCGUCUACAAACUGAAUUCAGCCAGGUGAAUCCAGAGGCUUCAGUGUGCAUUACUUUAACAGUAUAGUGAACAGUGCAUUUUUCAAGGAGUCAGCAUACCUAUUUCCAACCUGUCAUUAUUGCUCUAAAAGUAUUACUAUUUUAUGUGUCAUUUUGCCCACCCACCACCAACUGUUUGAAAUUUUGGCACUUUAGAAGAAAUAAAGUAAGGAAAAAGAUACGUUAACAGCAAAAUUAGUGUCUUUGAAUCUGUUGUCAAACUUGAUCCCCUUUCUGGAAGAAUGUAGUCUUACAACAUAGGCCCUUAAUCAAGAUUGGUUUAAAAUUUUGCUAUAGUUCAACUCAUGUAUAAAAGUUAUAUUAGCAGUGAAGAUCAGAAAUCUUCCUGGAAAAGGAGUGGAUAGGGGAAAAGUAAAUGUGUUGCACAGUACACAAAGGAAAAAAUAAGAAGACAAUAAUGACAAAGGCACUGAUUUUUUUCUCUUCUGAGCAAAAUUUAUAUUAAAUUAUGUAGUGAAAUUUGAGUUUCUCUGAUCUAUUUGCUCACUAAUAAAAUGUAUACUACUUGAGAUUAUUUAAGACAACUAUAUCCUAGUAAAAUGGUAUUAGUAAACUCUCCUACUGUUAACCAUCAAAAAGCUCCACUUUGUCCUGUAUAAUUUAUUAUCAAUUUUCCAAAUAAUAGGCUGUUCCAGCAGAAGUAUGUCUUACAAGUAUAAUACUAUUAUAAUGGUAGAAAUUUUGCCAAUGGAAAGGCAAGAAAAGUAGUGCCCCUAGUAUUAUUGAAAUGGAGACCUAGAUGUCUUUAAAAACACUUUUAAAAUGCUUACUAUUAAAAAAUGUAUACAACAGUAUAUUACAAAUUAAAUCUUCAGCACAGCAAGAUUUUAGGAAACAGUUAUUACCUUUAAGAAUACACUAGGAACUUUAAGAGAUUCCUUCCUGAAGUUUAGCAAAUACCUUAGAAUUUCUUCUUCAAGAAAUUAUUUUACUUAAUCAACAAAGUUUAAUGAUUUCAUUUUAUUUCUACCCACUUGAAAUUGAUUCCUACAAAAUACCCCUUCUGGUGGGGGAGGGUAAACAGCUAAAACUAACUGCCAGGAUAAAUUGGCCAGAAUGAUUUGGCACAUAUCCUGAGUUUGCCAUGAAAACAUGUAUCUGUGUGUCAGCUGCACACAAAGGCUAUCUGGCCCCAGAAAAAGCACAGGGAUUAGCCAUAAUGCUGCCUAUUUGAGACAAAGGGUGUUCCUUAGUGCAGUGAGGGUAAAACAGACAGCUCAUCAGUAGUACAAGUCUAUCUGAAUUAUUUAGUUACCAUUUUGAGCCAGAAGGAAAUGGUGGCAGAUUAUUAAUGACUUUUGGGGUCUAUUCAUCUCUUUAUUUUGUUUCAGUGAAAGCAGUACUGGAAACAUGAAAAGGUGCCAAAAUUUGAGACCAGUUUUACUUUAAUCACUUACAAGAUAUAGAAUCACUUUCUUAUUUCACUGCUGGUUGAAAAAUAGAACAGAUUUUGAUUUAUAUUUCACUUACACUUAUGAGAUGGCUAUUUAUGUUUGUAAGUGGGUGCAUGACCAAAGUGAAUGGAACAACUCAUGUGCUCUAGAAAAUAGAAGUCCAUGGAUCUACUGGAUGAAAACGGUUUUAUUGAUUUCAAGGGGGUUUAAGUCAUUCAAUACAAAAUACUUCGGGGAAAAAUAGUGAAGAGAGUAAAGAAACUAUAUAAAAGAUAUUAACAUAGACUGCAGUGCAUUCUUGCAAUAAGACAGAUUCUUGUCAUAUUCCAGUGAUGGGAAAUUUGAAUUAAUUUUGCAUAGAAAUAUUUAUGCAUAUGUAAUAAGAAUAUAUAUAUAAAAGAGUAUUUAUGAAGAUAUAUUUUUUCAUUUCUAAUUAACCAUAUAUGAACAAAAUAACAGCUGAUAUGUCAUUUAAAAUUUGACAGUUGUAAAAAUGAAGAUUAAGGAUGCAGUUUCCAAUAAUUUAAAAUCACAAGUUAAGAUUAUCCAUGUGUUAUGUUGAUAAUAAACAGAUCCAAAUAAGGUAUUAUAUAAAUUCCACAUUAUAUUUAUAAAAAAGGCUGAUUAUUUUUCGUGUGCAAUUUUUCUAGAAUAUUUUUGUUGUAAUAUUUUAGCCAAGUAGGAGGACUCCUGAUUCAAAAUUUCUAAAUAUGUGUAUUUUUAUUUUCACUCUUAUUUUCAUUUAAAGGUUCAGGUUGCCUCCUCUAGGACAGAAGAAAUGUCAUAUGUUGAAACAGUAAAAAUAAAAUCGCUGCAGAACUGAAUCAUUGCAACUGAGAUGAAAAAUUAAAAAAAAAAAAAAAUUACAAAAAACCCCCAGAAAUAGGAUCAUAGUGCAUUAGCAACAAUGCUUGCAGAUUCAUCAUGGCUCACAACAAAGGAACCCUUUCCCAGUGACUGACCAACAUCUCAGUGAAGCACUUUUUCCUGAUCUGGUUCUGGUCAUAACUUUCCCUGAUGGAGCUUCAUUCCAUUUCCUCAUGUCCUAUCACCAGUCACCAGUGAGAACAGAUCAGCACCUUACCCUCUAUUGCUCUUCUUGAGGAAGUUGGAGACUGACAUGAGGUCUUCCCUCAGCCUUUUCUUCUCCAAGCUCCAACAAACCAAGUGACCCUGGCUGCUCCUCUCUGCCUUUCACCAUCUUGGUCAACCUUUUCUGAAUGCUCCCUAAAUAGUCUCAUGGUCUUCUUAUGUCAAGGACAAUAAUAUAAAGGUGAAUUCACCGGAGCAAUUUUGUACAGCGGUGUGAUAUUAUAAGGACACUUUUUCUUAAGAGCCAAAUGGAACAUGUAACUCCACCUGGAUAGAACCUUGUUCCUGGCAUAAAUUUAUUGACAUCACUAGGCUGUUAUUAGGGAAAUGGAUCUUCCAUGUGAGAAAAUGUGUUUUAAAUUUAUAAAACUUUUAAUUUUUGUCUAAUAAAAGCAGUUUCAGCACAUUCCAGUCUGUUUUAUUGAUUUUGAGAUUACUUUUGGAACUAAAGCUGAUGUAAAGAAUACAUCAGCCAACUCAGUCAAAACCCCCACUUUUAAUAUCUGUAAUCUAGUGUGUAAGGUUAUUUCCCAAGUUAAAGUAACAAACUGAUAAACUAAGAAUGCAUUAGACACAGAAAGAGUGCACAAAAUAUGAUAUUGAUUUCAUUAAAACAUUAUGAUUCUAAUCUAACAUCAUAGGCAAUCAGUAAAGCUAUUUUUUAAGCAAAACAUGCAAGUAUUGAAAUUCUUAGAGCAAAAAUAUCUUUGCUUUGUUCCAAAUAUUUUUCAUUUUAAAGUAAAUGUGUUAACAGAAAUGGGACUGUAAUUUGAAAGUUUAGCUAAGUUUAAAUAGCAAUAGAAUAGUCAUUCCAGCAUGCUGUACUAUUUAAUGUUAAUUCCUCCUGCUUAUCCCCCAAGUUAACUUACUGUGCUCCUUUAAGAAUUUCACAUAUUAUAAAGAUGAAACAUUUGGUACAACUUUUAACAUUUUAAGAAUACAAUAGAAGAUAAUGAUUCUAGGAAAUUAAUAUGUCAAGGAUUUUUUUUAAUUUUUUGUGUCUAACUGUAGUAGUCACAAUUUAAGCAGUAGUCACAAAUGGUUCAACCAAAUUCAAAGGUAUUUUUCUAUAUCAAACCCUGAAAGAUUUUGCUCAGUUAUGCAAAUGCUCAUUCACUUGAGUACUCUUUAUUCAUAUAUGUGAUCAUAUUCAACACAAUUUUUACAAUUAAUCAAAACACUGAAGUGUUGCAAAAAGAGUACCUUCUCUGUUCUUGUGUUUUUGCACAAUUUUUAUACAUGCAAAUAUCCUGAAGAAGCUAUUUAAACUAUUAUGUGAUACAUGCCUGUAAAACAUUUUGUGUUCCUAUUUCUACAACAAUAUACAUUAUUUUUAAUCAUUAUAAUCUGAAGUUUUAUUGUUCUUGAAAUACUGCUUUGUAAAACAGAUUUCUUAUAUUUACAAUAUUACUUUGCAAAUGUAUAGAAAAUAUCAAUGCCUCAAACUUCUGUAUUUUUCAAGUCUGACUUUUGUUAAUUAUCUUUUGGAUUUUGUGGAUAAAUUAUUCAUUAUUACAUUGUCAUAAUGUGGGGGGAACUGGAUUUCACUAUCUCCAAAGAUUAUGCAUUAUAUCAAAAUGGAUUACUUAAAACUGAUUGAAAGCCAUUUCUCUUCUUGUUGCAAUUGUCACAUUAGUGAAAGAAAACAGUCAGCAUUCCAUGAACAUUUUAUUUCUUUAGAAUCUCUAAGAUUUCCCAGGAGAAUAAAUCAUAUAAUCAAGCAAAAGCGCUUGGUGUGAUCAAUUCUGCAACACUGCGUUAUAUUUCUGUAAAGUCAUUCAUGAAAGAAUUAACUGUGUCCAUGUGAUUCAUAUCUUAAUAAAACAUAUGAUGACAGCAGGCAUUGGUCAUGGAAGUAUGAACAUUAUUUUAUUGUGAUUGUUGUCAAUAUCCAAUUUGAUGAAAUGAACAUUCUGGGUAAAUCCAGCCACCUGAGAAUGAAAAUAAAUAAGCAUAUCACUUGUGUUUGGUGAAUUUCAGUUUUAUUAAAAAUUUCAAGGAUAUGAAUUACAUUUUAAUGACCAAAAUCUUUAAAUUAAAAGAAAAAUAAAUCUUCUAUUAAAAUGCAACUAUGUGCAUCUAAGUGAGCUUAUACCUGUGUACACACAAAUAAAACACAUGUAUAUGAAUGAUGUACAUACCUUGUGUAUGUCAGUAUAUAAAUGUUUAUGUUGUAUUCAUCCAUAGAAUCACACAGCAAUUUUGAGCCCUCUAGUGGUAAGAAACCUCUCUGUUAAGAAACCAUUAAUCUAAGCCUAAGUAUAUCCACUCUAAGAGGCAAGUUUCUAAACGUCUACAAUAUGAUUAUGUCUUCAUGCAAGUUCAGGAUAGCUCCCUCCAGUUGUCAUGGGUGUGUACAUACAAAUGUUAACAACAACAUAGGUCUGCGAAUCAUGUUAUUGUUUACAGCAUGGUAACUUUUCUGCCUUUUCUCUGUUAAAAAAAAUAAAGAUCUAUUCUGUAUUCUUUUGACA